GACGAACGCUGGCGGCGUGCUUAACACAUGCAAGUCGAACGGAAAGGCCCGGCUUUUGUUGGGUUCUCGAGUGGCGAACGGGUGAGUAACACGUGAGUAUCCUGCCCUUGACAUUGGGAUAACUUCUGGAAACUCGGGCUAAUACCGGAUAGGAGCUCCUGCUGCAUGGUGUGCGUUGGUAAGUUUCGGCGGUUGGGGCUGGACUCGCAGCUUAUGCGCUUGUUUGGGUGGUAGUGGUGUACCAAGGCUUUGACGGGUAGCCUGCCUGAGAGGGUGAACGGCGACAAUGGGACUAAGAGACGGCCCAGAAGGCAACGGGAGGCAGCAGUGGGGAAUAUUGCACAGUGGGCGGAAGCCUGAUGCAGAAACGCCGCGUGCGGGAUGACGGCCUUCGGGUGGUAAACCGCUGUCGAAUGAGACGAAGCGGGAGUGACGGUAAUGGGUAAAGAAGCACCGGCUAACUACGUG
rnacentral:rRNA from 1 species